UACGUAGGGUCCGAGCGUUGUCCGGAAUUAUUGGGCGUAAAGAGCGUGUAGGCGGUCCGGUAAGUCAGCUGUGAAAGUCAAGGGCUCAACCCUUGAAAGCCGGUUGAUACUGUCGGGCUAGAGUCCGGAAGAGGCGAGUGGAAUUCCUGGUGUAGCGGUGAAAUGCGCAGAUAUCAGGAGGAACACCAAUUGCGAAGGCAGCUCGCUGGGACGUUACUGACGCUGAGACGCGAAAGCGUGGGGAGCAAACAGG
rnacentral:rRNA from 1 species